AUUGAACGCUGGCGGCAUGCCUUACACAUGCAAGUCGAACGGCAGCACGGGUGCUUGCACCUGGUGGCGAGUGGCGAACGGGUGAGUAAUACAUCGGAACGUACCUUAUCGUGGGGGAUAACGCAGCGAAAGUUGCGCUAAUACCGCAUACGCCCUGAGGGGGAAAGCGGGGGACCGUAAGGCCUCGCGCGAUUAGAGCGGCCGAUGUCUGAUUAGCUUGUUGGUGAGGUAAAAGCUCACCAAGGCGAUGAUCAGUAGCUGGUCUGAGAGGACGAUCAGCCACACUGGGACUAAGACACGGCCCAGGCUCCUACGGGAGGCAGCAGUGGGGAAUUUUGGACAAUGGGGGCAACCCUGAUCCAGCAAUGCCGCGUGAGUGAAGAAGGCCUUCGGGUUGUAAAGCUCUUUUGUCAGGGAAGAAACAGCAGCUCUAACACAGUCUGCGAAUGACGGUACCUGAAGAAUAAGCACCGGCUAACUACGUGCCAGCCGCCGCAGUAA
rnacentral:rRNA from 1 species